AUUGAACGCUGGCGGCAUGCUUUACACAUGCAAGUCGAACGGUAACAGGGUGCUUGCACCGCUGACGAGUGGCGAACGGGUGAGUAAUGCGUCGGAACGUGCCGAGUAGUGGGGGAUAACGCAGCGAAAGUUGUGCUAAUACCGCAUACGUACUGAGGUAGAAAGUGGGGGACCUUCGGGCCUCACGCUAUUCGAGCGGCCGACGUCUGAUUAGCUAGUAGGUGAGGUAAAGGCUCACCUAGGCGACGAUCAGUAGCGGGUCUGAGAGGAUGAUCCGCCACACUGGGACUGAGACACGGCCCAGACUCCUACGGGAGGCAGCAGUGGGGAAUUUUGGACAAUGGGCGAAAGCCUGAUCCAGCCAUGCCGUGUGUCUGAAGAAGGCCUUCGGGUUGUAAAGGACUUUUGUCAGGGAGGAAAUCCCUAGUGCUAAUAACACUGGGGGAUGACAGUACCUGAAGAAUAAGCACCGGCUAGCUACGUGCCAGCAGCCGCCGUAA
rnacentral:rRNA from 1 species